GGAGGCUGUGCAGCCUCGCGGUGCUCCCAGCGAGCUCCCAAGGGUCUAUGCACGGCUGCCGGAGACCUCACCGGGGAAGGCUGAGCCACUCCAUCCUGUCCUGCCCGCUCCGGCCCCGCUCCUGCGCCCUUACCUCGAUGGCUGCCGGGCCGCGGGCUCUCCUGAACGGAUGCAGGCCGGUCCACGGCUCUGGCUAUCUUCUGCAGAUGCUCCUUGGGCCGGACGUCGGGCGAGCGCCGGACCGGCGUCAACUGCUCCGGCAACCUCAGCUCCGGUGGCAGCGACUGCUCCGGCGGCCCCUGGGCCGGCGGCGGCGGGAUGGGGGACAGCGGGAUUGAUGACAUCGGCCCCGGGGACUGUGGGAGCAGGGACUGCUGCUCCGGGGGUGGCUGCUCCAGGGCCCGCGGCUCCGAGGAUGUGGGGAAGGGGAAGCGGGUGCCGGAGGCCUGCGGGUCGCGGGGCGGCUCGGGCAGCGGCUGCGCGGGGGGCAGCGGGGUGUCCAUGGGCAGGACGCCGGGGCUGAACCUGUCCAGGGGGCAGGAGAGCCGCUGCAGGUGGUUCUCCCGGCCGGGGCUGUCUUGGAAGUGGCCUGCGAAGGCUGCAAGGACAAGCCCGCGGGAUCAGUGCCGGCGCAGCGGGCGGCAGGGAUCGGGCGCCCCCGGGACGGGGCAGCACGUCCCGGGGUGGCUGCAAAGGGGAGCAGCGGUGCACCCCGGCACGGGACAUCCACGGGGCAGCGGGGUGUCAUCCCGGCCUCCCGGGCACCGUCCGGCUGCUCCUGCUAUUCCCGGCACAGAUUCCCCCCCUGCACCCGGCUUGCUUACUUCUGCGCCGGCCGAGGGGGAAGAGCGGGCUGCUGCUGAGCUGGGAGUCCAGCGAGCUUCCCCUGGGCCGCGCGGCCGCCGGGGAGACGGACACCUCCUGCUCCGUCGGGUCCGAGCCCCAGGCCGAGGCGUUGGCUGCGGGAAGAGCGGUUCCCCCGUUUGCAGAGCGGGCGCCGCAGCGAGAGCCGGCACCGCGGGCGGGAGGGCUACGUGCGGCCAGGUCCCAGGUCCCGGGGCUGAGCACGGCCCCCCCCCUCCGGGCAGGAGCCCCCUUGCUGGGCGCUGGGAAGGACACAGGGAUGGGGAGGGGCAUGGGAUGGGAACAGGGACAGGGACGGGAUGGGGACGGGGAUGGGGACAGGAAUGG
rnacentral:lncRNA from 1 species